rnacentral:rRNA from 1 species
CUACGUGCCAGCAGCCGCGGUAAUACGGAAGGUCCAGGCGUUAUCCGGAUUUAUUGGGUUUAAAGGGAGCGUAGGCGGAUUGUUAAGUCAGCGGUUAAAGGGUGUGGCUCAACCAUGCAUUGCCGUUGAAACUGGUAGUCUUGAGUAUAGAUGAAGUAGGCGGAAUGCGUGGUGUAGCGGUGAAAUGCAUAGAGAUCACGCAGAACUCCGAUUGCGAAGGCAGCUUACUAAGGUAUAACUGACACUGAAGCACGAAAGCGUGGGUAUCAAACAGGAUUAGAUACCCUGGUAGUCCACGCAGUAAACGAUGAUUACUAGGAGUUUGCGAUAUAGUGUAAGCUCUACAGCGAAAGCGUUAAGUAAUCCACCUGGGGAGUACGCCGGCAACGGUGAAACUCAAAGGAAUUGACGGGGGCCCGCACAAGCGGAGGAACAUGUGGUUUAAUUCGAUGAUACGCGAGGAACCUUACCCGGGAU